AGAGGCUUAGGAUAACGCAAGACCGUGGACCUUCAAAGCCCUAAGUGGGAGUUAAAAUCUCCCAGCCUCUG
rnacentral:tRNA from 1 species